GAUGAACGCUGGCGGCGUGCCUAAUACAUGCAAGUCGAGCGAACAGACGAGGAGCUUGCUCCUCUGACGUUAGCGGCGGACGGGUGAGUAACACGUGGAUAACCUACCUAUAAGACUGGGAUAACUUCGGGAAACCGGAGCUAAUACCGGAUAAUAUAUUGAACCGCAUGGUUCAAUAGUGAAAGACGGUUUUGCUGUCACUUAUAGAUGGAUCCGCGCCGCAUUAGCUAGUUGGUAAGGUAACGGCUUACCAAGGCAACGAUGCGUAGCCGACCUGAGAGGGUGAUCGGCCACACUGGAACUGAGACACGGUCCAGACGCCUACGGGAGGCAGCAGUAGGGAAUCUUCCGCAAAGGGCGAAAGCCUGACGGAGCAACGCCGCGUGAGUGAUGAAGGUCUUCGGAUCGUAAAACUCUGUUAUUAGGGAAGAACAAAUGUGUAAGUAACUAUGCACGUCUUGACGGUACCUAAUCAGAAAGCCACGGCUAACUACGUG
rnacentral:rRNA from 1 species